rnacentral:rRNA from 1 species
UACGUAGGGUGCAAGCGUUAAUCGGAAUUACUGGGCGUAAAGCGUGUGUAGGCGGCCACGUAAGUCGGAUGUGAAAGCCCCAGGCUCAACCUGGGAAGUGCACUCGAUACUGCGUGGCUUGAGUAUCGGAGAGGUUGGUGGAAUUCUCGGUGUAGAGGUGAAAUUCGUAGAUAUCGAGAGGAACACCGGUGGCGAAGGCGGCCAACUGGACGAAUACUGACGCUGAGACACGAAAGCGUGGGGGAGCAAACAGG